UGGGGAAUUUUGGACAAUGGGCGAAAGCCUGAUCCAGCAAUGCCGCGUGUGUGAAGAAGGCCUUCGGGUUGUAAAGCACUUUUGUCCGGAAAGAAAUCCUUGGCUCUAAUACAGUCGGGGGAUGACGGUACCGGAAGAAUAAGCACCGGCUAACUACGUGCCAGCAGCCGCGGUAAUACGUAGGGUGCAAGCGUUAAUCGGAAUUACUGGGCGUAAAGCGUGCGCAGGCGGUUUGCUAAGACCGAUGUGAAAUCCCCGGGUCUCAACCUGGGAACUGCAUUGGUGACUGGCAGGCUAGAGUAUGGCAGAGGGGGGUAGAAUUCCACGUGUAGCAGUGAAAUGCGUAGAGAUGUGGAGGAAUACCGAUGGCGAAGGCAGCCCCCUGGGCCAAUACUGACGCUCAUGCACGAAAGCGUGGGGAGCAAACAGGAUUAGAUACCCUGGUAGUCCACGCCCUAAACGAUGUCAACUAGUUGUUGGGGAUUCAUUCCUUAGUAACGUAGCUAACGCGUGAAGUUGACCGCCUGGGGAGUACGGUCGCAAGAUUAAAACUCAAAGGAAUUG
rnacentral:rRNA from 1 species